CGUGAACAAUCAGUUAUUAGAUGAAAAUGACCAUUUAUUCAGCUAAUAACAUGCGAAACAGGUUCCGUGAUGUGAAGUCAACCAUCUUCAGAGUUUAACCAUCAGAUGUGGAUCCUCCUGACCACAGUUUCCACGCUGCUGCUGCUGCUGCUGCUGCUGCUGCUGCUGCUGCUGCUGCUGCUGCUGCUGCGAGGAAACAUCUGGCCUGCCUCUGGUGCCUUCUGAGCUGACAGCAGUUCGAUCAAACACACUGGCUCAGUUCAGCAGGAACAAGAGUUCAGUCACCAGGCAGCAUUUAGACAUGAAAGUCGAGAAAAUAAUGUGUGCCGGGAACUCCAGGAGGAUAUGAACAUGUGGAGAAUGAGAGGAGAGCUGAGGCUUUUAGUGAGAAUUCUGGAAAUCAUUAAUAUGUCACAGUUAUUCUAUCAUUUUAGAGGAUUUUAUUGCUGUUUAGUAUUAUUAAAGUGUAGUUUUGAAUAAAUGCUGGUAUGCAGGAUGCUAUCCAUACAUUAAAUGAAUGCAUAUUUAUGUCAGAAUUGUGCCCUCUGGUGUUAAUACUAAGGAAAACAUUAACAUUUACAUGUGAAGAAAAAAAUUCUGGUAAAAAAAAAAGACGAAAAUCUGGCAGCAAAAAUAGCAGAAAAAAUACACAGAAAGCAUUGAAAUGCUGUAACAUUCAAAACAGUGAAAAUAAUGGGAAAUAAUGAUUUAAAAAACAUUUUUUUAGCUGAUGCAUAUACAGAAUUUUUUUUAAGAUCACCUGUUGUAAAAAAGGAAAAUAUAAUUUACAAAAAUACAGAUUUUUAAUGUGGACAUUAUUUAAAGUUUAACAUUAAAAUUCACUGUGAAAAUAAUAGAUAAAAUUUGCAAAAUAAUUAUAAUUUUAACCAGUUUAAAUACAGUAACACAGUGUAAUUCUACAGUUACACGUUGUGUAG
ensembl:lncRNA